UACAGAGGGUGCGAGCGUUGUCCGGAAUCACUGGGCGUAAAGGGCGCGUAGGUGGCGGCAUAAGGCCGUGGUGAAAGUCUGGGGCUCAACCCCAGAUCGGCCGCGGCGACUGUGUCGCUAGGGCACCGUAGAGGCAGAUGGAAUUCCGGGUGUAGCGGUGGAAUGCGUAGAGAUCCGGAAGAACACCGGUGGCGAAGGCGGUCUGCUGGGCAGUGGCUCGCAAGGGCCAAUAGCCGACACUGAGGCGCGACAGCGUGGGGAGCAAACAGG
rnacentral:rRNA from 1 species